UAUUGGUUCAGAGCUUGUAGGAAUAACAGUUAGCUACGUUGGAUAAUUAAUGUGAGUUGGCUACAGCUGUUUCACCUGCUGGUGACGUCUCCCAGCUAGUUUAAGGCGAAAAUGAGAAGCUAAGCUAACGUUAGCCUUUUCAGUUGUUUGGUUCACGUUAGUAAAUGUGUCCAAAACAAUUAACCUCCAUGUAGACAUACAUUUUUAAUAAAUGUUGGCAUUAAGGCAAAUAAGUCAUUAUGAAAUUCAUGCGAAGAUUUGGACGAGUCCUACCACUAUGAUGAGUGCCAGAGCGAGGAGUUUUCCUACAGUGAAAACAUCUUGGAUCCUCGUCGCCCAGCGCACACUGGAGCAGUUCACCCAGGUCCGAAGUGUGAUGCUGUGGACCAGAGAGGAGGAUGGGGGUGGUACCAAGCAGCCAAUAGGAACAUCAAACAGCCAACCAGAAUGUCAUCUGGCCAAUUGGAUCCCCCAUCAUUGAUGUGCAAGGUGUCCUGCCCAUUUCGUGUUACCAUGGCGCUCAGUGACAGGAGCGUCACGGUAACCACUGCAAAACAAUGCACAAUGCUGUAGACACACCCUCUCAUUAGCGGCGUCCACAAAGGCUGGCACCAUUAUGUAGUCUGACACUGAUACUGACACACACACACACACACACGUCCACGUACGUAGACACUCGAACUCGCACCACACUCAGGAGUACAACACACUCACAGAGUGGGCCCCUGGCCUAACUAGGCAGCAGUUGUAGCAUUCUGUCGCCAAAAAUAGUGGAGGUGUGUUCUGUAAAUGCUAACCCCAGCCUGACAUGUGCACACACACUCAUGCACGGAUCGCUAAGCCUCUCCUGUCUGUCCCCCCGUUUCCCUUUCUCCAUCCAGUUCAGACAAGACCAAACUGGCUGGCUUGUCAACCAGAUACAUGCACAGUCUGCUUUUGCCACUGGCUAUUUAAAUACAUAUUGCUGUACUCCAACAUUUCAAGGAAAGGUGCUGAUCAGAGGCUGGAAAUAGAGCACAGCGUUUCAUAAGGAAUUAUCAAAUGACAAUGGCAGCCGUAAGCACACUGUGAACUGUCACAGUAUCAUAAUAUCUUCAAGCCAUACGAUGAAAGUAGCUGGAUGUGGUUAGCAGAGUUUGACUUACCCUUUGUAGUUUUGUGGCUUUCUCCUUGUUCUAUAUUUGUGCGACCAGGUGGGAACAGGUGGGAAGACACCCUUAGUCACUGGGUGCUCCAGUUUAUCCAGCUGGAUGGAGAGGUUUGUCUAGACAGGGACUCUCUGCUCAUUUGUUUCCUGAGCACUUAUUUGUGAUCUAACAUCAUUUAGUGCUCAAUCAGUAUUUCUUUAAUCAAACGUAAGUUUGCUCUGACCCUUUACCCUUGACCCUAAGACCAUUUGCUUGUAAUGCUGAUCUAGGAAAGGGUGUUUGCUCUAAUGUGUACCCCAGUGGGAGUCACUCUGGGUCAUACAGUCAGAUGACCUGAAUGUCUGAAGCAACAGAAGGUCUGAAGUGUGAUACUGUGAAGCAGGAUGUCAUGAUGACGGAGGCUGGAGUGUCAGCAAGCAGGAAUGCAGACCAGUCAGUUCCAGUAUCAAUACACCAAUGGGAUCAUUUGAAACUGAUUUCAAAGCAGGUUUCUCCAGACAGAUGACCAACAAGCUCAUCAACCAUCUACACUCGAGUCAACCAAGAAAGUCCACCUGACCAACAUUUGGCAAACCUUCAGGCCAUCAGCUUGUGACUUUGGAAGGAUUGUGCAAAGCUUCUGUCAAACACUGGCUAACAACAGUCAACAAAAUUAGUUUUUUUUCUUCAUACCAACAUGAUAUCGUUUCUGUUAUGAAACCAUUUACAUCAUCACAAAGGUUUUCCUGUGCUAAGCCAAAUUUUUGGUUUUGAGGAAUCGUUCAGCAUUUUAAGAAAUCUAUUUUCUUAGUAUGAGUUAAAUGAGAAGAUUGUUACCACUCUCAUACAGUAUCUGUCCUUUAAAUGUGAAACAAAUGCAGUUAGCUUAGCUUUUCAUAAACUGUAAACUGGGGGAAUCAGCUCACCUGGUUCUGUCCAACAGUAACAAAACAGGCCUGGAAAGCAAAUUAUUUAACAUAUUCCCUUUUGAGAACUAUUUGACUCAUGGUUAUUUGCUCUUUAGGAAGUCAAUGACUCCCUAACUACAUAAAAUGUAACUGUAUAUGGAUUAAAUACAUGUAAUGUACAGUAUAUCAGCUGAAAGUGCCCAACCCAUUAACAAUACUGAUGUUAAUGUGAACAUACCAACGUUGUCUGAGCUAAAUAAUAAAGUGGA